rnacentral:tRNA from 1 species
ACUGUUUUGGCAGAUAAGUGCAGUGGAUUUAGAAUCUAUAAAUGUAAUUUAAAUUACAAAUAGUA